GGACGUGUUUGACAGUUUGCGCAGGACGUUUUUUCCAUUUCAACCAGCCCCGCAACCAGAGCCGGCCCUAGACCUUUGGGGGCCCUAAGCAAAAUUUGGUUGGAGGCCCCUUUGACCGUUUUAAGUAAGGCCUAAAGAAAAGCAAUGACUACCUUAUAACUAUACUGUACAUAUUAUAUCUACUAUGUUAUUUUUACAUUUUUUAGUCUAUUAAAUUAUGUUUUAAUUAUUCUAUGUAUGCUGUAUGUUAAUUAUCUUUUUUACGCUGCUGGUCCUGAGUAAGUAUUUCGUUCUUAUGUGGCAACAUGUACAGAAUGACAAUAAAAGACCUUGAGUUGUGUUCCAUGUUUGAUGUCUAACAGUGCAACGAACACACACUGAUGAACUUGCUGAAUAAAAAGACUGAUAAAGUGAUUUUCACUGACCAUCAAAGAAACAUUUUUAAUUGACACCAGAGUUUAAGAGGCACAAACAUAAUUUAAAUGAAAUAGAGCAAAUAGAAUAACAUUUAAAUAAAAUAUUAUAUAAAAUAAAUAAUAAAUAGAAAAUUUAAAUGUUUGAAUUUUUCAAAUAAACAAAAUUAACAAUAAAAUCUAAAACAACACAAACAAGAUUAAUAGUAACAAUAAUAAGAAUUAGGUAACAUUUCAAUAGAACUAUUAAAAUCCAAACUUGUGUAUUUGUGUGCUUGCACAUGCAUACAUGGUCUGCUUGGAAAAAAAGUAAUUUGCUAAAAUACAAAAAAUUGAAUUAAAGGUUGUAUCAGCGAUUUCAGGCCCAAAAAGGCCCAACCAUAAAUGAUCACAUUCAUCUAAUCUUUCCUAACGAUCCGCUAGCUGCCUGCCUUAUAAGCAGGCCGUCAAAAAACGCGUCUCUGUAGGCAGCCUAGGCUCUGAGAUCUGCACACAAAAACAAUUGGUUUCACCAACCACUCAAAACCAAAACAAAUAGUGUUCCAACCAAUCACCGACAGGCGAGGGUGUUGUGCAUCCCAAUAUAAGACUUUUAGACUGCAGAUUAUCCAUACAGGUAUCGGAAAAUUAAGCCUACAGGUUUACGUACCUUUAUCUUCUUGCUUCUUCUCUUCUUCCAGCCUCUUCUUUUGUCGUUUUUCAUGGCCAGAAAGAUAUUUUCAUUUCUUGUCAGACAUCGCCGACGUCGGAGUAACUGACUGACAGACACUGACCAGGUGACGAGUGACAUCAUAGGGGUCAGUCAGGGUCAAGAUUCGCGGGGAACUCGCCAUAAUAAAGAACUAAAUAAAUAACA
ensembl:lncRNA